rnacentral:rRNA from 1 species
GUCGACCUCGAAUUAGGUAGGGAUACCCGCUGAACUUAAGCAUAUC